rnacentral:rRNA from 1 species
UACGAGAGGACCGGAGUGGACGCAUCACUGGUGUUCGGGUUGUCAUGCCAAUGGCACUGCCCGGUAGCUAAAUGCGGAAGAGAUAAGUGCUGAAAGCAUCUAAGCACGAAACUUGCCCCGAGAUGAGUUCUCCCUGACUCCUUGAGAGUCCUGAAGGAACGUUGAAGACGACGACGUUGAUAGGCCGGGUGUGUAAGCGCAGCGAUGCGUUGAGCUAACCGGUACUAAUGAACCGUGAGGCUUAACCUU